rnacentral:rRNA from 1 species
GGAAGUAAAAGUCGUAACAAGGUCUCCGUUGGUGAACCAGCGGAGGGAUCAUUACAGAGUUAUCAAAACUCCCAAACCCAUGUGAACAUACCUCGCGUUGCCUCGGCAGGUGGCGCCCCGCCCUGUGAGGGCCUACCCUGUAGGAGCUCACCCGGUGGUCGCCCCUGCCGACGGCCCACGAAACUCUGUUUUUUUAUAGCAUUAGACCUCUGAAAAGAUAACUAAAUAAGUUAAAACUUUCAACAACGGAUCUCUUGGUUCUGGCAUCGAUGAAGAACGCAGCGAAAUGCGAUAAGUAAUGUGAAUUGCAGAAUUCAGUGAAUCAUCGAAUCUUUGAACGCACAUUGCGCCCACCAGUAUUCUGGUGGGCAUGCCUGUUCGAGCGUCAUUUCAACCCUUAAGCCCCUGUUGCUUAGCGUUGGGAGCCUACCGGAAACCGUCCGGUAGCUCCCCAAAGUCAGUGGCGGAGCCGGUUCGCACUCCAGACGUAGUAGCUUUUACACGUCGCCUGUAGCGCGGGCCGGUCCCCUGCCGUAAAAACCCCAAAUUCUUAUAGGUUGACCUCGGAUCAGGUAGGAAUACCCGCUGAACUUAAGCAUAUCAAUAAGCGGAGGA